GGAUAAAAGGUACUCCGGGGAUAACAGGCUGAUACCGCCCAAGAGUUCAUAUCGACGGCGGUGUUUGGCACCUCGAUGUCGGCUCAUCACAUCCUGGGGCUGAAGUAGGUCCCAAGGGUAUGGCUGUUCGCCAUUUAAAGUGGUACGCGAGCUGGGUUUAGAACGUCGUGAGACAGUUCGGUCCCUAUCUGCCGUGGGCGCUGGAGAAUUGAGGGGGGCUGCUCCUAGUACGAGAGGACCGGAGUGGACGCAUCACUGGUGUUCGGGUUGUCAUGCCAAUGGCACUGCCCGGUAGCUAAAUGCGGAAGAGAUAAGUGCUGAAA
rnacentral:rRNA from 1 species